AUUAAAAUAUUUGUUAUAAGUUAAUUACAAGUGCGUGAGUAGACGAAGAGAAAAAUAGCAUAAGGAAGAAAAUGAUGUAGUGGUGGCAACAAUGGUGGAGAAAGAGUAGGAGGAGGAAGAGUUAGCGAUGCAAACAUAAACAUGGCGGCAACGACAGUGACACAAACAUGGCUGCAACGAUGACAACAGACACAACAAUAGUGAAGAAGGAGGAGGGGAAAUAGGAAAAGAGGAAGAAAUGAAAAAAAAAAUGAGAAUGAGAAGAAAGAGGAAGAAAAAGACCAAAUCACAAUAUUUACCGACAAAUUUUUUAUCAUCGAUAAGUCUCAGUUUUUAAUUUACCAACAUUUUUUCCUAUCGAUAGUUCUACAUUUGUUUAGUGACAUACCUCGAGUUAUCACUUAUAUACAUGUGUAUGACUUGUUAUAUAUAUA
rnacentral:lncRNA from 1 species